CCUACGGGAGGCAGCAGUGGGGAAUAUUGGACAAUGGGCGAAAGCCUGACCCAGCGACGCCGCGUGAGGGAAGAAGGCUUUCGGUAUGUAAACCUCUUUUUACAGGGAAGAGCAUAAUGCUGUACCUGUCCGAUAAGCCACGGCUAACUACGUGCCAGCAGGCGGGGUAAUACGUAGGUGGCAAGCGGUUUCCGGAUUUACUGGGGGUAAAGGGCGUGUACGGGGGCUGUCAAGUCAGAUGUGAAAUCCGGGGGCUCAACCCCCGAACUGCAUUGGAAACUGUUGGUCUUGAGUAUCGGAGAGGCAGGCGGAAUUCCUAGUGUAGCGGUGAAAUGCGUAGAUAUUAGGAGGAACACCAGUGGCGAAGGCGGCCUACUGGACGACAACUGACGGUGAGGCGCGAAAGCGUGGGGAGCAAACAGGAUUAGAUACCCCAGUAGUC
rnacentral:rRNA from 1 species